CCGUUAUAACCGGCGAUUUCCGAAUGGGGAAACCCAGUGUGACUCGUCACACUAUCAUUAACUGAAUCCAUAGGUUAAUGAGGCGAACCGGGGGAACUGAAACAUCUAAGUACCCCGAGGAAAAGAAAUCAACCGAGAUUCCCCCAGUAGCGGCGAGCGAACGGGGAGGAGCCCAGAGCCUGAAUCAGCAUGUGUGUUAGUGGAAGCGUCUGGAAAGGCGCGCGAUACAGGGUGACAGCCCCGUACACAAAAGCGCAUGUGCUGUGAGCUCGAUGAGUAGGGCGGGACACGUGGUAUCCUGUCUGAAUAUGGGGGGACCAUCCUCCAAGGCUAAAUACUCCUGACUGACCGAUAGUGAACCAGUACCGUGAGGGAAAGGCGAAAAGAACCCCGGCGAGGGGAGUGAAAAAGAACCUGAAACCGUGUACGUACAAGCAGUGGGAGCACAGGUUUACCUGUGUGACUGCGUACCUU
rnacentral:rRNA from 1 species